UAAGACGAAGGAUCCAAGCGUUAUCCGGAUUCAUUGGGUUUAAAGGGUGCGUAGGCGGGUUUAUAAGUCAGUGGUGAAAGCCGAUCGCUUAACGAUCGAACUGCCAUUGAUACUGUAGACCUAGAGUAUAGAUGAUGUUGGCGGAAUAUGACAUGUAGCGGUGAAAUGCAUAGAUAUGUCAUAGAACACCGAUUGCGAAGGCAGCUGACAAAACUAUAACUGACGCUGAUGCACGAAAGUGCGGGGAUCAAACAGGAUUAGAUACCCUGGUAGUCCGCACAGUAAACGAUGAUAACUAGUUGUUUGCGAUAUACAGUAAGCGACCAAGCGAAAGCGAUAAGUUAUCCACCUGGGGAGUACGCUCGCAAGAGUG
rnacentral:rRNA from 1 species